UAUUGGACAAUGGGGGUAACCCUGAUCCAGCCAUGCCGCGUGUGUGAAGAAGGUCNUCNNAUUGUNANGCACUUUAAUUUGGGNNNNNUAGUUGUAGGCAAAUACCUUGCAAUUUUGACGUUACCAACAGAAUAAGCACCGGCUAACUUCGUACCUGCAGCCGCGGUAAUACGAAGGGUGCAAGCUUUAAUCGGAAUUACUGGGCGUAAAGCGCGCGUAGGUGGUUCGUUAAGUUGGAAGUGAAAGCCCCGGGCUUAACCUGGGAAUUGCUUUCAAAACUGACGAGCUAGAGUACGGUAGAGGGUAGUGGAAUUUCCUGUGUAGCGGUGAAAUGCGUAGAUAUAGGAAGGAACAUCAGUGGCGAAGGCGACUACCUGGACUGAUACUGACACUGAGGUGCGAAAGCGUGGGGAGCAAACAGG
rnacentral:rRNA from 1 species